rnacentral:rRNA from 1 species
CAGUCGCCACGGGAAUACGUAGGUGGCAAGCGUUGUCUGGAAUUAUUGGGCGUAAAGGGCUCGCAGGCGGUUUCUUAAGUCUGAUGUGAAAGCCCCCGGCUCAACCGGGGAGGGUCAUUGGAAACUGGGAAACUUGAGUGCAGAAGAGGAGAGUGGAAUUCCACGUGUAGCGGUGAAAUGCGUAGAGACGUGGAGGAACACCAGUGGCGAAGGCGACUCUCUGGUCUGUAACUGACGCUGAGGAGCGAAAGCGUGGGGAGCGAACAGGAUUAGAUACCCCUGUAGUCCCUGUCUCUUAUAC